UCGCGUCAAGCGCCGUAGGCAGGAGCGGGGGACCCAAGGUAAGUGCCGGACCGGUCGGUUGACCGGAACGGCUAGGGGUGAAGCCACACCUCCCACGGAGCAGCGCUCCGACGGGCGAGGAAGUGGCCGGGCAACUCACACGGCCCGAACCCGACAGCUCACCUCGCAGGCGUCGGUGAGGGGAUCC
rnacentral:sRNA from 2 species